AAUUCUCAACCAUGUCUUGAUUGACUUCGAGGCAUGGCUUGGAUGGUGGGGGUUGCUGGCUGCGAAAGCGGUCGGCUCUCCUGAAAUGCAUUAGUGAUGGACAGCAAGUCUGACGUGCACGGCCUCGACGUGAUAAUGAUCGUCGUCGCUGGAGCGUCGGACGAGCACGAGAACGUCCCUUUGCUUCCAACACCUUUGACUUGGGACUUGAACUUUCGAGCAAAGCUUCAGCUACUAGUCGGUCGUGAGGCCGACGAACGCAAGGCCGGACUUGGAGGUCGUGCAGGUCUCUCGUCUUUCUUGACG
rnacentral:misc_RNA from 1 species